CACGCCGUAAACGAUGGAAGCUAGCCGUUGGUAAGCAUGCUUAUCAGUGGCGCAGCUAACGCAUUAAGCUUCCCGCCUGGGGAGUACGGUCGCAAGAUUAAAACUCAAAGGAAUUGACGG
rnacentral:rRNA from 1 species